rnacentral:lncRNA from 1 species
CCCCGCCCCACGCUCUUCCUCCUUGUGCAGCUUCCCUUUCGCCUUCUGCCAUGAUUGGAAGCCUCCUGAGGCCUGUGCAGCCACAGUUCCUGGUAAUGGGAAAGAACUUGACAAUUAUGGUCGUUCACUUGUGUCUCAGUUGCAUAUUUUGCCCGACUACAAGGAAGAAGCGUGAAAAUGCCCAUGUUUUCUUUUGACAGAUGAACUUUACCAUUUCAAGUGAAAGGAACAUAAACUCAAGGUGAAUCUUCAUCAGCAAACAGAUUUGGUUCUAUUUCUUUCAAGGAACUUCUACCUUCAAGUCGGGCAAGGAGCUUAUAAAAGAAGAGAGAAGGAAAACUCAUUAUUUAAAAAUAUAAAAUCCUAGACAUCUAUA